rnacentral:rRNA from 1 species
AACGAACGCUGGCGGCAUGCCUAAUACAUGCAAGUCGAACGAGUAAGAGCCGUAGCAAUACGGAGUUCUGCUAGUGGCAAACGGGUGAGUAACGCGUGGGAACCUUCCUUAUAGUACGGAAUAACUACUGGAAACGGUAGCUAAUACCGUAUAUUCCCUCCGGGGGAAAGAUUUAUCGCUAUAAGAUGGGCCCGCGUCAGAUUAGCUUGUUGGUGAGGUAACGGCUCACCAAGGCUACGAUCUGUAGCUGGUCUGAGAGGAUGAUCAGCCACACUGGAACUGCGACACGGUCCAGACUCCUACGGGAGGCAGCAGUAAGGAAUAUUGGACAAUGGGCGAAAGCCUGAUCCAGCAAUGCCGCGUGAGUGAUGAAGGCCUUCGGGUUGUAAAGCUCUUUCAGUAGGGAAGAUAAUGACGGUACCUACAGAAGAAGCCCCGGCUAACUUCGUGCCAGCAGCCGCGGUAAUACGAAGGGGGCGAGCGUUGUUCGGAAUUACUGGGCGUAAAGCGCGCGUAGGCGGCUUGCCAAGUCGGAAGUGAAAGCCCAAGGCUUAACCUUGGAAUUGCUUUCGAAACUGGUGAGCUAGAGAAUGGUAGGGGAUAGUGGAAUUCCUGGUGUAGAGGUGAAAUUCGUAGAUAUCAGGAGGAACACCGGUGGCGAAAGCGACUAUCUGGACCAUUUCUGACGCUGAGGCGCGAAAGCGUGGGGAGCAAACAGGAUUAGAUACCCUGGUAGUCCACGCCGUAAAUGGUGGAUGCUAGAUGUUGGGGCCUUGAGCUUCAGCGUCGUAGCUAACGCGUUAAGCAUCCCGCCUGGGGAGUACGGUCGCAAGAUUAAAACUCAAAGGAAUUGACGGGGACCCGCACAAGCGGUGGAGCAUGUGGUUUAAUUCGAUGCAACGCGAAAAACCUUACCAACCCUUGACAUGUCGGUCGCGAGAUCCAGAGAUGGAUUUCUUCAGUUCGGCUGGACCGAACACAGGUGUUGCAUGGCUGUCGUCAGCUCGUGUCGUGAGAUGUUGGGUUAAGUCCCGCAACGAGCGCAACCCUCAUCCUUAGUUGCCAACAGGUUAUGCUGGGGACUCUAAGGAAACUGCCGGUGAUAAACCGGAGGAAGGUGGGGACGACGUCAAGUCAUCAUGGCCCUUACGGGUUGGGCUACACACGUGCUACAAUGGUGGUUACAAUGGGAUGCCAAGUCGUGAGAUGGAGCAGAUCCCCAAAAGCCACCUCAGUUCAGAUUGGAGUCUGCAACUCGACUCCAUGAAGUCGGAAUCGCUAGUAAUCGUGGAUCAGCAUGCCACGGUGAAUACGUUCCCGGGUCUUGUACACACCGC